rnacentral:rRNA from 1 species
CUACGGAGGGUGCAAGCGUUAUUCGGAAUCACUGGGCGUAAAGGACGCGUAGGCGGGUUGGCAAGUCAGAUGUGAAAUCCUACAGCUUAACUGUAGAACUGCAUUUGAAACUGCUAACCUAGAGUAUGGGAGGGGGAGAUGGAAUUAGUGGUGUAGGGGUAAAAUCCGUAGAUAUCACUAGGAAUACCGAAAGCGAAGGCGAUCUCCUGGAACAUAACUGACGCUAAGGCGUGAAAGCGUGGGGAGCAAACAGGAUUAGAUACCCUAGUAGUCC